GAGCGCCCCGCAAGGGGAGCGGCAGACGGGAGAGUAACACGUGGGAACGUGCCCUUUGGUUCGGAACAACCCAGGGAAACUUGGGCUAAUACCGGAUAAGCCCUUACGGGGAAAGAUUUAUCGCCGAAGGAUCGGCCCGCGUCUGAUUAGCUAGUUGGUGGGGUAACGGCUCACCAAGGCGACGAUCAGUAGCUGGUCUGAGAGGAUGAUCAGCCUCACUGGGACUGAGACACGGCCCAGACUCCUACGGGAGGCAGCAGUGGGGAAUAUUGGACAAUGGGCGCAAGCCUGAUCCAGCCAUGCCGCGUGGGUGAUGAAGGCCCUAGGGUUGUAAAGCCCUUUCGGCGGGGAAGAUAAUGACGGUACCCGCAGAAGAAGCCCCGGCUAACUUCGUG
rnacentral:rRNA from 1 species